AACCUUGAUAACACUUUAGCGGUCACAUUUUUGCAUCAAUCAUCAUCAAACUUGGUCAGGAUGCUUAUCUAGUUGAUAGCUCAGAUGAGUUCGAACAUGGGUCAUCUCGGAUGAAAAAGUAGGUCACCAGAGCUAAAAAUAGAAAAACCUUGUUAACACUAGCGGUCACAUUUUUGCAUCAAUCAUCAUCAAACUUGGUCAAGAUGCUUGUCUAGGUGAUAGCUCGGAUGAGUUCGAACAUGGGUCAUCUCGGAUGAAAAACUAGGUCACAGGAGCUAAAAAUAGAAAAACCUUUUUAACACUCUAGUGGUCACAAUUUUGACUCAAUUGUCAUCAAACUUGGUCAGGAAACUUGUCUAGGUCAUUGCUGGGAAUAAAUUGAACAUGGGACAUCUCGGAUGAAAAACUAGGUCACAGGAGCUAAAAAUAGAAAAAUCUUGUUAACACUCUAGUGGCUACUGUUGUGAUCCAAAUAUUCUGUUAAUUGGUCUGAAAGUUUGUUUUCAUGAUUUCUAAGUCAAGAUCGAACAUGGGUCAUCUUGGAUGAAAAACUAGUUCACACCGCCCAAAUAUAGAAAAACCUUGUUAACAUUCUAGUGGUCACAUUUUCGACUCAAUUAUCAUCAAACUUGGUCAGGAUGCUUGUCUAGGUAAUUCCUUGGAUGAGUUCGAAAUCGCAUGUGAAACUAUGUCACCGGAGCUAAAAAUAGAAAAAUUUUGUUAACAUUCUAGUUGCUACUGUUUUGAUCCAAGUAUCCUGGAAAUUGGUCUGAAAGUUUGUUUUGAUGAUUUCUAGGUCAAGUUUGAAUAUGUGUCACCUGGGUAAAAAAACUAGGUCGCACUGCUCAAAUAUGGAUAAUCCUUGUUAACACUGUAGUGGUCACAUUUUU